rnacentral:tRNA from 1 species
GGAGCGAUAGCUCAGACUGGUAGAGCACUGGAUCUGGAAUCCAGGUGUCGAAGGUUCAACUCCUUCUCGCCCCACCG